rnacentral:tRNA from 1 species
ACCUGGGUGGCUCAGUCAGUUAAGCAUCUGACUUUCGCUCAGGUCAUGAUCUCAUGGUUUGUGAGUUCGAGUCCCACAUCGGGUG